rnacentral:rRNA from 1 species
UACGAAGGGGGCUAGCGUUGCUCGGAAUCACUGGGCGUAAAGGGUGCGUAGGCGGGUUUUUAAGUCAGGGGUGAAAUCCUGGAGCUCAACUCCAGAACUGCCUUUGAUACUGAAGAUCUUGAGUCCGGGAGAGGUGAGUGGAACUGCGAGUGUAGAGGUGAAAUUCGUAGAUAUUCGCAAGAACACCAGUGGCGUAGGCGGCUCACUGGCCCGGUACUGACGCUGAGGCACGAAAGCGUGGGGAGCAAACAGG